rfam:Draconibacterium orientale strain FH5T, complete genome.
UCCAUCGUGAGGUGGAAUCUGAAGGAAGCUGAAAGCAAAUUUCUGACCCGAGGAACACGAACAUCAUUAGGCAUUUCCAAUGGGAUAAGUUUGCCAAACAAAACGAAGUCCAAAACUACACGGACAUUGGAGUGUAGAUGGUGCGGGUGGAUGGAAUGAAAGUUAUUUAU